UCCAAAUCGGCGUUAGAACGAUCCUCGCUAAUAGGCCAGCUGACUAUGGCCUACGCAAUUGCCAAGCAGCGAGAUAAACCAUACGCCAAAGCAAUUUGGUGCUAUGAACGGGUCUAUGCGCCCAUAAAUAAUGAAAAUUCACAUUGGUUUUUGUUGGUCAUCUAUCCUAGAGUAAGAGAAAUCAUUGUUGUGGAUAGUUUAUGCACAAAUCUAAUGCCGAAGUACAAGCAGAAGAUGAAGAAUAUGACUGAUGCACUUCCCAUUCUCUUCUAUGCAACUGGAGACA